rnacentral:rRNA from 1 species
AGAGUUUGAUCCUGGCUCAGAACGAACGCUGGCGGCAGGCCUAACACAUGCAAGUCGAGCGAGGACUUCGGUUCUAGCGGCGGACGGGUUAGUAACGCGUGGGAACGUGCCCUUUUCUACGGAAUAGCCUCGGGAAACUGAGAGUAAUACCGUAUACGCCCUUUGGGGGAAAGAUUUAUCGGAGAAGGAUCGGCCCGCGUUAGAUUAGAUAGUUGGUGGGGUAAUGGCCUACCAAGUCUACGAUCUAUAGCUGGUUUGAGAGGAUGAUCAGCAACACUGGGACUGAGACACGGCCCAGACUCCUACGGGAGGCAGCAGUGGGGAAUCUUAGACAAUGGGCGCAAGCCUGAUCUAGCCAUGCCGCGUGAGUGAUGAAGGCCCUAGGGUCGUAAAGCUCUUUCGCCUGUGAAGAUAAUGACUGUAGCAGGUAAAGAAACCCCGGCUAACUCCGUGCCAGCAGCCGCGUAAUACGAGGAGUUUAGCGUGUCGGACUACUGGGCGUAAGCGCGCGUAGCGACAUUAGGUCAGGGGUGAAUCCGGGGCUCCAUCCCGGAACUGGCCUGAUACUGGGUGUUUUGAGUUCGAGAGAGUGAGUGGAAUUCCGAGUGUAGAGGUGAAAUUCGUAGAUAUUCGGAGGAACACCAGUGGCGAAGGCGGCUCACUGGCUCGAUACUGACGCUGAGGUGCGAAAGUGUGGGGAGCAAACAGGAUUAGAUACCUGGUAGUCCACACCGUAAACGAUGAAUGCCAGUCGUCGGCAGUAUACUGUUCGGUGACACACCUAACGGAUUAAGCAUUCCGCCUGGGGAGUACGGUCGCAGGAUUAGAACUCAAGGAUUGACGGGGGCCCGCACAGCGGUGGAGCAUGUGUUUAUUCGAGCAUCGGCAGAACCUUACUAACCCUUUUGAUUUGUCGCCACCUCCAGAGAUGGAGGGUUCCCUUCGGGGACGGCAGGACAGGUGCUGCAUGGCUGUCGUCAGCUCGUGUCGUGAGAUGUUCGGUUAAGUCCGGCAACGAGCGCAACCCACAUCUUCAGUUGCCAUCAGGUUAUGCUGGGCACUCUGGAGAAACUGCCCGUGAUAAGCGGGAGGAAGGUGUGGAUGACGUCAAGUCCUCAUGGCCCUUACGGGUUGGGCUACACACGUGCUACAAUGGUAGUGACAAUGGGUUAAUCCCAAAAAGCUAUCUCAGUUCGGAUUGGGGUCUGCAACUCGACCCCAUGAAGUCGGAAUCGCUAGUAAUCGCGUAACAGCAUGACGCGGUGAAUACGUUCCCGGGCCUUGUACACACCGCCCGUCACACCAUGGGAGUUGGGUUCACCCGAAGGCCGUGCGCCAACCUGCAAAGGGGGCAGCGGACCACGGUGAGCUCAGCGACUGGGGUGAAGUCGUAACAAGGUAACC